rnacentral:rRNA from 1 species
GGUUAAGCGACUAAGCGUACACGGUGGAUGCCCUGGCAGUCAGAGGCGAUGAAGGACGUGCUAAUCUGCGAAAAGCGUCGGUAAGGUGAUAUGAACCGUUACAGCCGGCGAUGUCCGAAUGGGGAAACCCAGUGCAAUUCGUUGCACUAUCGUUAACUGAAUACAUAGGUUAACGAGGCGAACCGGGGGAACUGAAACAUCUAAGUACCCCGAGGAAAAGAAAUCAACCGAGAUUCCCCCAGUAGCGGCGAGCGAACGGGGAGCAGCCCAGAGUCUGAAUCAGCUUGUGUGUUAGUGGAACGGUCUGGAAAGUCCGACGGUACAGGGUGAUAGUCCCGUACACCAAAAUGCACAGGCUGUGAACUCGAAGAGUAGGGCGGGACACGUGGUAUCCUGUCUGAAUAUGGGGGGACCAUCCUCCAAGGCUAAAUACUCCUGACUGACCGAUAGUGAACCAGUACCGUGAGGGAAAGGCGAAAAGAACCCCGGCGAGGGGAGUGAAAAAGAACCUGAAACCGUGUACGUACAAGCAGUGGGAGCACCUUCGGGUGUGACUGCGUACCUUUUGUAUAAUGGGUCAGCGACUUAUAUUCUGUAGCAAGGUUAACCGUAUAGGGGAGCCGCAGGGAAACCGAGUCUUAACUGGGCGUUAAGUUGCAGGGUAUAGACCCGAAACCCGGUGAUCUAGCCAUGGGCAGGUUGAAGGUUGGGUAACACUAACUGGAGGACCGAACCGACUAAUGUUGAAAAAUUAGCGGAUGACUUGUGGCUGGGGGUGAAAGGCCAAUCAAACCGGGAGAUAGCUGGUUCUCCCCGAAAGCUAUUUAGGUAGCGCCUCGUGAAUUCAUCUUCGGGGGUAGAGCACUGUUUCGGCUAGGGGGUCAUCCCGACUUACCAACCCGAUGCAAACUACGAAUACCGAAGAAUGUUAUCACGGGAGACACACGGCGGGUGCUAACGUCCGUCGUGAAGAGGGAAACAACCCAGACCGCCAGCUAAGGUCCCAAAGUCAUGGUUAAGUGGGAAACGAUGUGGGAAGGCACAGACAGCCAGGAUGUUGGCUUAGAAGCAGCCAUCAUUUAAAGAAAGCGUAAUAGCUCACUGGUCGAGUCGGCCUGCGCGGAAGAUGUAACGGGGCUAAACCAUGCACCGAAGCUGCGGCAGCGACACUAUGUGUUGUUGGGUAGGGGAGCGUUCUGUAAGCCUGCGAAGGUGACCUGUGAGGGUUGCUGGAGGUAUCAGAAGUGCGAAUGCUGACAUAAGUAACGAUAAAGCGGGUGAAAAGCCCGCUCGCCGGAAGACCAAGGGUUCCUGUCCAACGUUAAUCGGGGCAGGGUGAGUCGACCCCUAAGGCGAGGCCGAAAGGCGUAGUCGAUGGGAAACAGGUUAAUAUUCCUGUACUUGGUGUUACUGCGAAGGGGGGACGGAGAAGGCUAUGUUAGCCGGGCGACGGUUGUCCCGGUUUAAGCAUGUAGGCUGGUUAUCCAGGCAAAUCCGGAUAAUCAAGGCUGAGGUGUGAUGACGAGGCACUACGGUGCUGAAGUAACAAAUGCCCUGCUUCCAGGAAAAGCCUCUAAGCAUCAGGUAACAUCAAAUCGUACCCCAAACCGACACAGGUGGUCAGGUAGAGAAUACCAAGGCGCUUGAGAGAACUCGGGUGAAGGAACUAGGCAAAAUGGUGCCGUAACUUCGGGAGAAGGCACGCUGGUGUGUAGGUGAAGUCCCUGCGGAUGGAGCUGAGACCAGUCGAAGAUACCAGCUGGCUGCAACUGUUUAUUAAAAACACAGCACUGUGCAAACACGAAAGUGGACGUAUACGGUGUGACGCCUGCCCGGUGCCGGAAGGUUAAUUGAUGGGGUUAUCCGUAAGGAGAAGCUCUUGAUCGAAGCCCCGGUAAACGGCGGCCGUAACUAUAACGGUCCUAAGGUAGCGAAAUUCCUUGUCGGGUAAGUUCCGACCUGCACGAAUGGCGUAAUGAUGGCCAGGCUGUCUCCACCCGAGACUCAGUGAAAUUGAACUCGCUGUGAAGAUGCAGUGUACCCGCGGCAAGACGGAAAGACCCCGUGAACCUUUACUAUAGCUUGACACUGAACAUUGAGCCUUGAUGUGUAGGAUA